rnacentral:lncRNA from 1 species
GGGGCUGUAAAGAUUGUGAGCAGUAGGGUAUCAGAGGGGUAAAUAGCAAGCGAGAGCAAAUAAGGGGAAGAAGAGUUCGGAGGAAGACGACAGACUACUCAACGCUUUUUGUUCGGUGUCCUCCCAAGUGCUGUGCGGUGUCUGUAUUGUUGGCUCUGCUCAGUCCAUACAUAGCUAGGCCAGCAUGUUUAGCAAUUUAUCAAAUCAGCCCACACAGGGCCCAUUCUCUUGCCAUUCAUAACCCAGAUCAUGCCAGAUUAUUGUGGCCUCGUAUUUUUACAUUGUUUUGUCCCCUCUUUAAUAAUCUGCUAGAGAGGGCCACUCCAACUACCUCAAGUCUAUAGUACUAGAAAGUGACCUUUUAGUAACAUGUGGUGUUAUGAUCUGGUACUAAAGG